rnacentral:lncRNA from 1 species
GAGAAAAACUAAAUAAUAUCAUUGAAAAAAAAUACAGAAAAACGUGAAAUACAAAACAUGUGACUUUACAUAAAUUUUUCGUUAAUAUUUUUCGAAAUAACGAGUUCUUCUCUAGGCCCUAGUAGACCGAAUUCGGAAACGCUAAUGUUCGCACGUUCUUUCAAGCGAUGAGAACAUACGUCGCUCCACCAUGACCGACUACGCACCUUAAUUGCGCGUACGAUUAUACCAGGAUGACCCCCGGGUGUCGUCGUUGACCUUAGGAGAGUUUCCAUUCCCCUUAAAUUCCUGCAUUUCGCAAUUGGCGGAUGCCCGGCUCUACGCGUUCCCGGGCACGUACGUACACACAGGUGCGUAUGAGCGGCCGUGUCAAACGCGUUAGGGUCUUUGACGAGCGUUUCAUACGUGACUGAGAGGUGAGAUGAACGAGAGACCGGUGAGGUAGAAUAUGAGAAGGUGAAAAGAAGACAGGCUGCCGUCUGUAUGUCCGACAGUACGCGAGGCGCAUACGGAAAAUAUGAGUUCAAUGUCAGGCCGACGAUCCGCUACGAUUCCCCCUCGUUCCCCCGGAAUAGUUUUUUUAUCCAUCGUCGUGACGGUCGCGUUGCGUCUUGCGUAACUGGCCUAAAUACCAAUCGCCACAUCCUGGCCAGACAAUCGCGAAUGCAACUAGAUGCAGAUAGAUUCUCCACCGCGGAUAGAGUCUCACCGAAGUCUCCCAUCGUUCGGUGACUCCGUUUAGCACGAAGAUGACGAUCUCGCGAAGGAAGAGUUUCUACGAGCGUGAAAUGUCGCGAGCACUGCGAGGCACGUCGGGCUGUGUCGAUGAAAGAAAAGGAUGGAAGGUAGCGAGAUAAAUAAAAUAAACGUUAAUUACGCGAGUUAGUAAAUGCAUAAUUAUCGAUCUGUGAGAACUUGCGUCUACGCACUUCGAUUUAUGAAUGCUUCUGAUGACAACACGCGCGAUCUUGUGAGAGAUGCAAUCGCGUUUAAGUAACAACUCGAUCACCGCGGCGCAGAACGUAAUUAAUCGAGAGAUGAAACAAGUCGAGAAGGCAAAAUCGCGUCGGGGAACACGUUUCGUGUACCUGUAUAUAACGUAAGCAUGUACAUCUUCUGCUGACUGAAAUUGGAAUCGCGCUGCAAUUUCUCGAAGGUGAGCGGUGGCGCCAAAAUUGCAAAACCGGUUAAUUUAGAAUUUCGGCGCCGCGACAGCUCGCCGAUCGACCGGCCGACCAACGGGUCCGAAUGCAGCUUCUGCUUCGGUAACGGGCCUGCGGGAUGUGCGUCGGUUCUAAAAAUACAUCUUACUUAACCCCUUCCCCGAGAACGCGCGCGAACGCCGAUGCGAACGUACGCGCGCGCCGCGCGCGGUUAUUUUAAUUUAUCUCUUCACAUUUCCUACUUAUGUCACGACUGCCUUUUCUCGGGUGCAAUCGAAAUAUUCUCGAGAAGGGGGGUUUUUUUUUUCUUUACGAGCUCGCAUAUAACUCAUCUCACGGAGAUCGCACAACCCCGUUCCUUACUCGCCAGCGAGAUGUACGAGGCACGGAGAAUACUUGUACGCGGAGUCAAAAAGUCGCUAUAAAUAACCGCGCGAUAUUCAAUCACAAUGUUUAACAAUCCAGUUUCACAUGCCAAAGCAUUAUAAAAUACAUCCAAAUGCAUAUUUUCGUACUCGCUUUUUUUUCCACGCGAACCACGAGCCGGCGUGAAGAAUGUUCCUUACGUAAAAGAGAAUGUUAACAUACGUUGCCGGCGGCCUAUGAAAAUUGUUGUGUUACACACAGAGUGGAGAAUUUGCCUAGCCUGUGACCAACGGGAACGUUAAGAACGAAACCCGGGAAGGGGGGGGGGGGGAGAGGGGGAGAGCGUUAUAAUUUUAGUUUCGCAAAGGGUGGAAUUUUUAACUCGCGAACGGCCUGGAAUUCGACCUGGCGCGGCCAAAGCGCGAUCUCUCGCGCCGCGCCGGCAUGAGAUCACUCAAUUGCAUGGCCUUAAAUACUUUAGAACACCUUUAGGAAUAAUGCCACGACGCGAAACGCGAUACGCCGCGCGACGCCGCCGCGCCGCUGCCACACCACGCGCGUGUACAGCUUGACAGGUAUCGCGUAAUUGAUAUUACGAAAAAACAUUGCGAAACAAGGGAGAGAGGGAGCGUCGCCGUCAGCCGGGGAGUUUCUUCGUUUCCAGGCGAUUUCGUGCAAAAUAAUUAGCGACGGGGCACCGGGGUAAAAAAAAAGGAAAAAAAAAGAGAGAGGGAAAGAGCGAAAUCGGACUCCCUGGGGUACCUUGUACCAAUCUCCGCUAAUGUCCAGCGAGAUUCCCUGCCCUGCCCCCUUGAUUGCCUUCGUGCUAUAUCGAGAACCUUGCACUUGACAGUAUAUACGCCGAACGUUCGCCCGAGUCCUCGACCUUCGACAUAUUGCGUUAUGUGCAGAUUUUCUGACGUCAUGAUUUUCCAUUUUUGCGUUGAUUUCAAUGCAUCCAUGUUUGUGACGUAAUUUGUUAUCUUAAUUAUUUGACAUUUGUUAGGAAAAAUAUGCAGGUCCCGAAAGUAGCAUAAAUCCUAAAGUGUACCACGCGUUAAUUUCGAAGUUGAUUCUCGUAGAAAAAAAAAUGUCCGAUUGCAUUUCCUCGUAAUAUAGGUGCCCUGUUAAAUGCUAAUGUGAUCUUAAAUGCAUUUAAAUACACUCCAAAUACAACAAUUGCGCGCGGUGACGAUUUUUCGACAUGCGCAGCCACAUCAGGCCAGGUGAGCGAUCAUGAGAUACCGCUUAAUGGCGGACGUGAUUGCUCGAAAUCGAUUUUGCUUCACUGUACGCUCGAUCGGACGGAUAAAAACAUCUCCCUCGACGUUUUCGCGGUUCGCCGAUUAAGAAAAAGCGCGCACGGACGAUCGUUCGAUCGCGUAUCGCGCGUGAUUCGUCAGCCUGAAGCAACGAUGCGUCCUUUCAGCGCGAUUUAUCGGAACCGCUCGAUUAAUAAGAGAUAAAUCAUAAUUGAGUGCAAUCUCAAUUUAUUAUUGUAUAUGCAGCAAUCAAUAUGCAAAUCUUUUGCAAGUUAACUGGUUAUUCAAAACAAAAUACAGUUUUACGCAAGUGCAAAAAAAUAAAAUACAUUUUUUUCAUAAAAAAAUUACAGACAAAAUUCUUUUAAUGUUAAUAUCCGUGUUUUGUUUAAAUAAGAAUUUUAAAAUAGAAUAUUUAAUUAAAUCUUUGUAUUAUACCUGUUUCAAAUUUUAUUUUGAAUCAAUGAUAAUUCUAUAUUUUCUCAAUCACGUCUUUCAUCAAUGAAACUUCAAGUGGAUGAUAUCAUAAUUACAAACAAAGAUAAAAAAAAAGAUGAAGAGUUAUUGGUACUUGACAUUCAUCGAUUGCAUCUGACUUUAAGUAUCAAUUGACUUCAUAAUAGAACAGAUCGAUAUCUUGAAGUAAGCAAUCGUAUAAACUUGUUCACAUUUCACAACUCAUAUUGAACGUAAAAGAACAACAAGCGGUUGUGAUAAUUUACUUCAUUGCCAUAAUGAUCCAGUCAGAAACACAAUCCUUUUAUUCCUGUAGAAAUUGACUCGAAAUGUAAUAAAAGGAACGAUUACGGAGGUCGAUAUGACGCUUUCUGUUUUUUUUUUUGCUUAAAGGGCUCUCGCAGUUCGUAAACAACAUUAAAAUAGCUCUUGCCAACAUUGACCUAGAUGGAGUGAAUAGCAUCUGUAUGGAAAAAAGUAUUUUGGAUGAUAAUCUCCAGCCAUUCUCUUUAACAAAAUUACAGUGUAAAAAAGAUUGAUGUUUGUCAGUAAUAUUCGUUUCAAAAAAUUUCUAGAAACUCUUGACCUCUCUAUCAAUGGCUGACAAACGCAACAAUAAAUAAGACAUUGACGAAAUUCAGACGUUACGACAUGAUAACAAAUUAAUAUCCUAGUAAAGCUAAAUAAAAAAUUAAGAUUCUUAAAUAUUGUGUUUCAAUGUAACAUGGACUCCCCGAUACAUAAUAAUUGAGGGAAAUAAAAAUAUGUCAAAAUUGAAGGUAGAUAUCAUUUGUUUUACAAUACAAUUGUUUUACGUUCUGUGAUAUAUUUUUGUGCCAACAGAUUUAACUAAAAACCUGUAAAUAUAAACAAUGGUGGUUUCAGUAUAUUAUUUCCGGUAUAUUAUGCCAGAGAAAUAAACUGAGUGUUGCAAUAGUUUUUAUCUUAAUAACAUCAUUAUGCAAUUGGUAUCUUCACUCAAUUGCUGGGGUUUUGCAUUAACCGACAGCUUGCAUUCGCAGAUAGCUUUGCCAUUGGAUUAAUUGCGAAUAACGUAUGCGUCACGCGUGUUCGCUUAUACUCACGACGAAUUCAUCUGUGAUACUAUCCAGACUUGGAGACAAGCGAAUAGAGGACACUGCGACGAUAAAUGCACACGAAGGAGCUUGUCAGCGCAAAAUCAUGCCAUUGUGAUGAAUCAAUGAUGCCGGGAAUUCGAAUAAAUGCAGGUAUCUCGAACAUAUGUCUUUCUGUCUCUUGUCCGCGAUCAAAUAUCGAAUUCGCUGUAGAUGUAAUUCUCAUCGUCCAAAAAAAGGGCUGCGGCAUCUUCGACUCACCUAGGCUGUCAAAACAGCUCCUUGCCAGUCCCUGACCCACAUGCCUGACUUGCUGCAUUUAUGUAUUAAAAAAAAAAAAAAAAAAAAAAGAAGAGAGAAGCUUUUUCGAACGUUCUCUUCACCAAUAAUCACGAUCCGUCACGACCGAGCACCGGACAUCGUCGAAUCACGCAUUUGCUCCGCACGGGAGGUAUCGACUUAUCGAUGAUCACGCUGUCCGAUCCUGCUCGGAUCGCGUACAUGACGUUACAUGCCAACCGUUGUACAUACAUGAUAAUCAUACGGUGAAAUAAUUACAGUAUGUUCGGAUAAUAAAGACAGAGAGAAGAAUAAGAUCGAGAGUUUUCGAAAUAUCGGAGUAAUCGCCGUGAUUAAAACCAAUUAGCGAUAUCACCUCGUAAAGUGCCUCUCCUCAUUUACGGAUCUGCCCAUCCGGUGCAGACUGCUUUUUUUUCUUUCCGUCAUAAGACAUUUAAAUAUAGCUCAUUUCAUAACAAAUAUCGCAACUACAGCAUAACGUAGAUAAUCAUUCAACUGUGCUUCAAUUUCUCAAAUUCACUUUCACUAGUCUAAACACCCCCUUCCCUUCCCCUCCCCCCAAAAACCGAAGAACGCUGAUUUUCCCACCCAUUGUACAGUUAACACGCACAGAAUUAUUUUCAUAGCACAGUACGCGUGCUAACGUAACAGGGCGCCCUCAGAAUUGUAAGAAUGUUAAAAAAGCACAAGUAUUAGAAGCAGCUUACCAAUCGAAAUAUUGCGGAGCCUCUAAGUGCGUCUCAUAGACGCUUAUAUAAUUUCACCGCGAGCCGCUGCGUCGACUUGUCACUUGAUUAAAAUAAGCAUCCGUUAUGUAAAUGAUAUCGUAGUGCAGAUACGCGCAUAUUAAAGCGCCUCUGGAGAGACGUGGAAAAACACGGGAGAGAAAUGAGAGAGACACGGAAGAUAAAACGGCGGGACGUACAAGCCCGACGUCUCGCGAUUCGACUCUCUGAAUGCGCGCAUUGUGUUUGGCUCUCCUUCGUAAAUUGUCUCGCGUCGCGACUCUGCCGAGUGCAACAGCCCGGGCGGCUCCGCAGCCGGUAAGAGCUGCUGCUCAAGCUCUCGCCGUAAUGCGCAAUUCGUGGGAUAACUUCGACAUUAUCUCCGUUCUCAUUAAUCGCGCGCGCGCGCCAUUUUUUCCGAACGCGAUGCAAAUUGAGGUCCCGCUUAACGGCAAUGACGACGGGAGCGGAGAGUGCGUGCGCUCACGGGGAGGGGGGACCCGGCCAAAAUACGGCGUUUCGUUUUCUCAGGUGCAUCCAUGACCCAGAUAGUGCGGAUACUACGCAUCCUCCGGGCGCGAAAGCGAAGACGCGCGCGCGCGCGCGCGAGCGAGCGAUAUGUAACCAGGCGCGGAAGGAUUUCCUCCUCGAUUUCGAUCGUUCGGAUCUUUUUGCUCGCGCGAGGCGGCGGCGGCGGCGACGGCGCCGCGCGCUCACGGUUCCUCAUCGACGCUCGUAUUUCGUCGGAUAUGCGUCGCCGCCCGCCAGGCAGCUUUGCUGGCCACGUCCCACCGCGUAGCUGGAUGAGCGCGCGAACGGUCGCGCGGUACUGGGACAAGGUUGCCUGGGGCCCAUAACUAUCGCGCGCGCUGACACACAACAAUGCGCGUUUCUUACGAGCGAUUCACAGUGGAUCGCGUCUUGCGUUAUCUCUUUUCUUCCCGCCGAUACGUCUCUUUCCCCCUUUCGUACCUCAUCCCGCUUGCUCUCCUCUCCCUUUCUCUCUCUCUCUCUCUCUCUGUCUUUCGCCCAGUCCACUUGGGCCCUCUCCCAGGCCCCUACCAACAAACUCUCGGGGGUUCGGAUGCCUCUGCCCCUUCCACGAAGAUCGCGGGGGGGCCCUCGAUCCCCCUUCUCCGUGACAGUUCUCUCUCCCGUCUUUCCCCGUUCCUAGCAGGACGCGCCUUCCUCGGAUCAUUCGAUCCCCCGCGGGAGGCGACACUCGGUUUUCGAUCUUUGAAUACCGUGGCACCGCCACCGCGAUGACCAGUCUUCGAAUCACGGGCGAAACCCGCAUGUCUCUCCGCGUAUCUGCAACGUACCACCUCACGUUCCCGCGUUGUGUCGCGGAUGAAUAUUUUACAAAGUAAUCUCGUUCGACUUCUACCCGAGGUCGCACUUCAGUUCACCGCAGUCGUUUCGUCAUAUUUCGGGCGCUUCAUAAUUUACCGAAAGGCAGGAAAGUGAAAUUGAAUGACGACCGAAAUCGGUGCGCCAUUGAGAAGGUCAUCAUCUCGCGCGAGCUAAUUGGGGAGGUACGAUCGGUGCAUCUUAAGAUCCACGCGAUCUUCGAGAUACGUCGAAUUGUCCUUGAUCGAAAUGUUGACAGAGAGCUUAAAACGGCAAGCGAGCUGUUGGUGCGUUGACGCGAUCGGUGAUGAACGACUCGUCAUAAAAAGUUUACAAACAAGAAGAGGAACGAUUGGGGCCGCCUAAAGAAUCCCCUUACGGAUUUCGGCGCACGUCUUCUUUCAUUGUACACAGUUAUUUAUGCACUGGUUACGCAAUCGAUAACUCAGGUUUUCGGGAUCGGCUAUGCACUUUUUAGGAACCGAGGUCACGUCGACCCGCCGAAACACGCACUCGAUAAACGGAAGAUACAACAGAUAAUUUCUUCCGUGUAUUUCAAAUCGAAUACCGAAUAUAAUUUGCGCUGAAAAACAAUAGAACCAGUAAUAAUUAUAAAAUAAAAUUAUUAUAAUUAUUAUUAGCUUAUAAUAACUUUUAAUCCAAACCUCAUAAGGUCAGUACUAUAAAUAUAUAAAUUAUAACUUCUAUUAUACAAAUUGGGUCUCAAAACCUUCGAAUCAAAGAUAGAAUUUUGAAUUAGUAAAAAAAAUUUGCUGUAAGCUUUAUUUUUCCGACGUUGAGAUGUUAAAAGGAACAACAAGUGACUAUUCUCGGAUUAAUCACACUAACGCCACGCGCGUAUAAUCUGAUCAGCCGGAUGCACGCAAUAUAAAUUAUAAGAUAUUUGUUGAUGCACCUUUUUGCGAUCAUCAAUAAUUCGCUUUCGUCGGCACGGAAGUUGUAACCUACGGGCAGGCACACCUUGAACUGUCACUUUUAUCCAUGCGAAAGUAGAAACGUGCACGCGACGUUUCGCCGGUGCGUACGGCGUCGCCUAAUAGCCGCCGUAGACUUCGCGCGCUUCCAAGGCGAUUUCAUUGACACGGCGGCGACAGCGAUAACUCUACUACGCCGUCAUCGGGGUUUCCGUGAAAGUGGUACAUACGAAAUGUUCACGGUCGGGAGGUCAUUGUGUCGGAGAAAUAGCCGGCACAAAUCGUGGUGUAAUCAUUAAGAACAGAGAAAAUUUAAAUUAUUACUAUUCGAUUAACUAAAUUAUAAAUUAGAAAGUGACUAUUGCGCAAUGUGCAAUCGGCGACGGUCCACGCGAGGUUCCGUCUAAACAUCAUUAAAAUUCUAAUAAGAAUUAGAGGUUGUGUGCGUUGAGAGAACGCGGAAACGUUUAUUAACAAUUGAGGUACAGAAUAGACUCACGUGAUUUAGUAACAGCCAAAUUGGACCCAUUUACCACUUGCGAUUAUACUAUUAAGAUGACUGUAGCCAACCUGUUGCCAGAGUUGUGUAAAAUUCUGUUAGAAAUUCUCGUAGGGGAAAAAAACACCUCUAGCGUCUAAGACAGCUUGAGAAUCACUACGGCAUAUUCCGAAACCGCUUUCUUAAUAUUUACAUUUGCGCGUUAAGUGCAAAUUAUGACGUUGUAAACGUACGCGUAUCCCUCGAGGGUUAAUUCACUUUGUCUUUUUGUUGUCGCAUUACUCCGGUAAGAGUACUAUCAAGGCUGACUAUAAUUGCCCGCCAGGAUCACUAAUAAUUUAAUUCCGUGAAUAAGAGCUAAGUAUCAUAAUAUACAUAUAUCUCGCAAUUUCUUUCUAUCUCGGAGCUAAGAAAGACCAUGAAAGCUGGUCGAACAGCCAAGUUUAUCAUGCUUUUUAUAUGCGUUCGAUUUAAUCUUUUUGCUCCGAGUGCAGCGCAAUACGGACGACGGGGUGCAACGCCCUCUGAAUGCUCGCGUGCCUGCUGCCUCCUGUGCCCUUGGAGGAUCCUCCUAUGGAGUGUGCGAGAGCAAAGACGGACUCGCGGUAAAGUGAUGCGAGCAAAAUGAUACCGGGCAUCAUGAGCAUCAUUCCGUGCUUGCCCCCCUGCGUAUGCGUAUAAUCACGUUUAGUCCUCGUCAUGCGCGAUGAUGCGGCGUCGCGCGCGGUUGUGCAUUAAAAUCUGGCGGUGCAUUCCGAAACGGACGCACAAAGACGGAUGGGAUAUGAAUAGCAUGAGAGAGAGAGAGAGAUAGGAAUAAUAGAAUGACGAAAACCGAGUUGUUGUGUGUUGCCGCCGCUUUCACCAUUUCUUAGACACGAAUGCAAGAAAUGUUUGCGCCACGUAACGAGCUAAUAAACCGAUGCAUGUUUACAUAAGCUCGUCGUUAUCAAUCUCCUUUUUUUCUUUUACUUGCGGAUUAUUACGGGAGCCGCAAUGAAAUGACAUUAUGUAAAUAUUAUUCCGCCCGUGAAUGAAAUCACGUGCCAGGCGUUACAAUAUCGAAUUGCAAAACAAUGAAAUCGCGGUGAGGAGAAACUCCUGGAGAAAAUAGAUAACACUUCUCGUAUUCAUUCAAGUGACGAGAUAUAAAAAUAUCGAAUAAAGAAAUUAUCUAAAAUGUAAAUCAAAUUAAUUUGUAUUAAACACACUCUUAAUUAAUAGCGCAAAAUUUAUAGAAACUAAUUUGUUGAGCUUAUUAAAGGCAAACAUAUUCAUUUAGUUGUAGUUAUAAAAAAAGAAAUGUGAAUAUAAAUAAAAAUAAAUAUAUAAAAAUUGUAUCUUGUUUUAUUUAUAUUUGCGCUUGGUUUCUUCUUGCAUGUUCAAGUAUUACAUGAGUGCUUUCACGGUCACAAAAUACGUGAGAGACCAUUACGAAUCCGAUAUUACGUUCACGCCAAAGAGUGCGAAAAAUAUCUCACCUUAUUGAAUGAAAAUCGGAGUGCAUUGAUCGACAAAUAACGUGUAACUUCAUUGGAAUAUAUAAAAUGGUAACAGAAUUACUUAUAAGACUGUUCGGUCAAAAGAAUUCAAGGUGACGUUUAAUAUUCGCCAAGAUAUAACUGUCAUUGUUUUGCUGAUUAACAAUCUUUUAACAAUUACAUACAUUUUUAAAAUGUAUGAAUUAUAUAUAUAUAUAUGUGUAUAUGUAUGUAUAAAGCAACGCUUAGAUACACGGAAGAAUGAUAUAAUUCUAUUGCGUUCCGCAAAAUGCCCCGUUAAAGUAUUAUUCCAUAAUAAUUUGUUGCACGAGGAAAACAUAAACCACAUAGAAAGACCUGUAAUUUUAUAGUAUUUUGCGCGACGAGCGACAGCGAUUACGCGAGCGUUUCGAUGCGCAAAUAUCUCCGCCUCGUAUAUAAAUUCCGAGAUCGUAAUCGGCGUAUGCUACUUGUAAAACGCUCAAAUUGUCGCGGCAUCGAAGGCUGCCCUUUAAUAAAUUGGAAACAAAAAGCGGCACAUCGCGCAUUUUCAAUGCUUCCGCUGCUCCCAUUUUCCUAUGGUCAUAAAAUUUUUUCUUGCCUACGGGUUACUUAAUGCCUCAGUCUUAAAAAAGACAUAAUGCACCGCAACCUUGCUGUUGCUUAUUAUACUUCCUUAUGCUACAAAAGCCUGGCUAGCUUGGCUGGGGAUAAAUAUUCCUCGUUAUAAAAUUGCAUGUUCGUACUUCAAUCUACGGGCUUCCGUAUUUCAUGAAAACUUCCUGAUAUAAGGCUUAUGCCAUAGACUUAGACUGUAAUACUUCAUAGUCUUGUUAGUAUUUUACAUCACUAUAAUUAUAUCCAGUACUUUCAUUGCUAUUUAUAAUCAGUAUUUUUAUUAUAUUUAUAUUCAAUAUUUAUUACUAUGCUUGAUAUUCGCAUAAAACUGCAAAAUAAUUUGUUCAAGCAAAACGGUUCAAUGUUACGUGAGAUAUUUAUGACAAAAAUAUUACAUAUUAUUAUAUUAAAGAUUGUACUUUAAAUGAAGCUAUAUCACUCGAUAAUAGAAAUGCAUGGCUUACUCCGCCAAAUCUCGAUCUUAUACUUUUGAUAUACAGCUCAACGAUUAUGACAGUAUUUGAUAAAUUGAUGCAGGUUAAACAGCAUAAAGAUAAAGUAUGAUAUUUUCCUUUAAGGAAGAAUACAUUUAAGGACAAAAUUUCCUUUCAUAAAUUAUCGUGCAGGCGCUUCUAACUUAUUAACAGCUUCUGUCGUCGACUCCUCUCGCGAUGAUACCCUUAGAGAAAAACAAAGACGAUUUGCGACCCCCGUGUAAGGGCGAUGGUCAAACUUAUUGCCGUUUCAGACUGAUAUUGUCUGGAUAAAAUCGUGCGCGACAAUCCGCCUUCGCUGGAUGUAAUGGAGCAGUGCAUAAUUAUAAGUUCCGGGUUCUGGGGACACACACAACCGGUGACUAAUCACAUAAUGUAUAUGUAUAUCGCGAGGAUAAAACGCCUUAGGCAAGAGAGCAAAACAACACGCUGCAAAAGCAGUAGUCGAGUACCGCUGCAACCGGUCGUCGUAUAUAAUUAAUGGAUAUGCAACUUGGGGAUUCCAUCCGUACAAAAACUUAAGUCGCUGCGGGAAACGCACCUCGUGCAAGAUUAAUCGGUUACGCGCCGACGCGAUUAUCCGUUACGCUCAUCCGUAAUCCGGUCUAUUAAACUCUCCUUCUUAUUUCUCGAUCAUUUCAUCGGUUUAACGGAUCUCCGCAUCAAGUACCCGGCGAUGAAUCACGCUAACCGUUCACGGUGACACUGCUGAUCUCGCCGUGAAUUUGCUUUAUCUUCCGUUGCGAUUUUUCGCGCGUAAUUGGAUUUACGUCGGAUAAACGUUCGGAGACACGAUCCCUUUGUCUGCCAUUUGCGGCGUGACCGUGAUCGCCGCGUACACCCCCUUGGCAAUAUUUUACCCUUCCUGCUCGCACGGACACGGGAAGGAAGCACGAAAAACCUGUUCGCGCGUGACCUUGUAUACGGCGAAUCAUUACUGAAUAACCGAUCAGGGAUAAAAGAAUCUUAAAGCGGGGUGGUGCGUGCGCGCUUGAAGGAAAAGGCGUCUGUGUGGUUUAUCGUUAAGCGGACAGGUCUGCCUAUACAGAGCCGCGUAUAUAAAUGUACCAUACGAUCUUGCUAUCUCCUUCUCUCUCUUCUUCUCCCCCUCCUCCCCUCUCUCCCUCUUUCGUCGAGGAGAUAGAGUGAAACAAAGAGAGAUAGAGAAAUACGAUUCCAUCGCAUACCGAACGGGCCGUAGACAGUCGCACACACCCGUGUUGCAAUUAGACAUUUUUGCAGUCCCGCAGACAGCGGGAGACGGCAAGAUAUGCGGAUGGAACGAUGAGGUAGGGGACGAAGAAGCUGCAGCUCCGGUGUCUGCAAAUGGGGGUUCACGGCUAUACGGGUGUGUGCCAAGGAGUAAACUCGAAUCACGUCCUUGUCGCGAAUUGUUUCGAAGUUAUGUCCAUCGCUCGCGACAUACAAGAAAAUAUAGUAUAAGAAAAUCGCGUGUACAUGUUAAUUUAAUGACAUCUAACUAAGAAGUAAACAAUUAAGAAAUUUAACAAGUGACAUACACGAUGAUAGAAACAUAUACAUAGAAUGAGCAAAAAGUAUCGAACCAACGAAAUAUUUCAAACGCAAGACAUCGAAAAAUCAAUAAUUUAUAAAUUUAUUUUAGCAUAUUUUAACAAAGUAUAAGAUAGAUGAAUUAUUAAUUUUUUAAUUAUUUUACUUUAAUAUUUUUAUAUGGCGAAUAACUAGAGGGUUCAUAUUAUGUAAGAAAUUAUAUGUACAUAUAUAAUUUCUAAAAUCUUUUUAUUUUUCUAAAUAUUUAAUACGUAUUGUUAAAUUUGAUUAUGCUUUAUUAAACAAGAAAAAAUAUUUUCGUUAUAUUAAUUAAAUAUUUAAUUGACAUUAUUUCAGUUAACAUUUGGUAACCAUUACCAAACUUUUUUCAAUGUAUAAAUAUAAUAAUCACAUACUAUGAAAUUACUGUGAAAUUCUUCACAUCAUGGCACAUGAUUGUUUGAUUAAGCUUCCUAGACUACGCGAAGAAUGUGGUGAAACUGAAUAAUUAGCACACCUCGUUUCGUCACCUUUGUAUCAACGAGAUGAUAUCGGAGUUUUAAAGAGCACCGCUGCGUUUAACAGAGCAGAAAGACAGCCGUAAUAGACAAAAAGAGGAAAGGAGGAAGAAUAAGGAUUUCUAUACGCACAGUGUGGUAAAAUACUUUGCGCGCCCGUUCAUCUUGCGACGACGAAUAGCAGUCGUCUCGUGAUGUGCGACGACUCACAUUUUAGGGCGACAAACGUCAGCAACAUGAGAAAUGAAGAAUCGUUUCGUAUAUGGAUCCUCUCUCGAGCGCUAGUCGUGGAAUUCUUUUUCUUGUAGUCCGCGCAGGUCGAGGACCUCACAAAAAUAAAUUCCAAGAAAAUGCUAAUCAAAUGAUACGUCUGGAGGGCAAUGCUCUACGAACUUUGUCAUCUUUCUCGCAUAAUUGAAUUUUUUUUCGUCGGCUUCGCUAUUGUACUAAACCUUUUCUGAUUCGACUGGUACCCAACUGGACAGACCAGAGAAGAUUCUUUUUGCUUUUAUGACGACUGUAUUAAGUAUAGAAAUCCUGAUUGCCUUAUAAGGCAUACAACAGUCAGUGACGUGGCAAAUACCAAAUAAGAAUUUACUUUGUGACUUUCAGAAUAGAUUGAUAGUAUAAAAAGUUAAAUCCGGAUGUAUAUCGCGAGAUCCACGUGUACAACGUGAUUCACGUCAACAUGAUGAUGAAUAUUUAAUAUCAACCUAUGAGCGACCAAGCGACUUUAAUUCAUGCGCAUGCAAACUGUUCCGAAGAUGAGUUUUCUACGAUCUUUGUCGACGCCCGGAAUAAAUUUUGCACCGUGAAGACGUAACAUCAGAAUAUUGGAAACUGAAAUGCGGUAUAAAUUUAUGCAUCAUGUACAUCAUGAGUAUAAUUGCAAAAUAAUUUGUGAAACUCAGAAACUUAUAAUACAUUAUAUUCUCAUAAUACAUUAUAUUCUCAUCUAAAUUAUGAUUAGAGAUAUACAUAAUACAGUUUUAACAUAAACUUCUAAUAUUAAUAUAAUCAAGAGAGUGGAGCCUUAAAAUUAAUAUCAAAUAAAUUCACUGAAAAACUAUAAAUGUUUGGUGGAUGUAAUCAAAAAUAAUUUUAUUUUUUUAAAUAUUUAGUAAGUAUCAAAAUUUAAUUAUAACUUAUACUCACUAAACAUUUAGAAAAUUACAAUUAUUUUUAAUUAUAUUAAACAUUCAGUGAACAUUAUAUUACUCAACAUUUGGUAGUUAUUAUCAAACUUUUUUUCAGUGUACAAAAAUCAUGAACAUACUACUUUGAUUAAUAUAAGUGAAACUGUGUAAUAAAAAUGAAGAAACAGUACUUCCUCGCGUGUUACCAAAUUUGGAAAAGGAGACAUCAAUUAUCUUUAAUUCAAGCGUUUUCGGUUAGGCCAUUUGUGACAUUAUUUCGUCAACGUUUCAUAAUAAAAUUUUGCAAUCUUCAUUGGAGACAUUUCGCGUAAACGAGCCAAGGCGAGUAAAUCAUCAGACCGGUCCAUGUGGCUAAUUUGUUUCACAGAUUAAGGAAACACCCGAUUGUCUAAAGUCUCGGACACACACCGUUACUCGACCGUUACUCGAAACAAUCGCGAAGCCAAUGGGAUGCCGGCGACGAACGCGUAGGUGUCACGAUAUUCCGCGGCGACACAACAUCGAAUUGACGUGCGCGGAAUCUGUAGUACGUCACGAAUUCUGGCUGAAUGCAAGAGGCGAUACCGUCGUGCAGAAAAAGGAUAAGAAGGAUCGAUUGCACCGCGCGGCUGGGCUUUCCUUUCUCUUAAUCUUUAUUGGAAGAGGACGCAAUCGUCCACGCGAAGUAUUUCGCAUAUUCUCGUCUUCGUUUCGACAAAGUUGGACCGACGCCGGCUUGCAUUUCCAAGCGCUGUUGCACUUUUUUUUAACAGUCCCCGUACCCGAAGUUUCGGGUGAUCGGACUUUGGGGACUCUUCUUCGGGACGGCAGACGUCGUACGGGGCGCAGAAGGUCCAGACAAGUCGCGAAUGAAUUGCAACAUCGCAGCAUACGGUCAGCCAAUUAAAGAUCGGCCGUGUAACCGAUCGCGCGCCUCGUCCCAUUUUGCUACUCGUGUUACGUUAUGAGAAUCGUGUGUAUGCGCCGCGUGUGCGCCAUUCGUAAGUGUGACGGCGAAUUCUUUUCUCCUUUUUUUUUUUUCAUUUUUUGUUCGAGUUAAGAGUUAUCGCGGUAAAAACGACCGCAAUGUCUCUCGCGAAGAAAAGACACGUUCUAUCUCUUUCCCUCUCUUUCUCUCUCUCUCACCUUUAUUCUCAGAGAACAUACGGAGCACGCUUACGAGCACGUAUGCAUACGUACGCGAGCGAGAUGAAAAUCGAGGCUUCGCUGCAAAAACUGUGAUGAUUCACUAUGAGAAGUCACGUUUUUUAUGAAACAAACGGUGUUAUGCGCGGAAUCCAGCAGAUGGGACAAUGUUACGGGGUGUCAAAGUGAUAUACGGAUGCGUAUGAUGUGGUAUCUUAAUUUUCGAUAUGCGACAGCCGCGGAAUUGCGAGCCGUGAAAUUAUAAAUGAAAAUUGACGUUACAUAAAAAAAGUUAAUUUCCUCGAUGAAAUAUCAGCGGAUUGCGUGAAUAAUAUUUACGAUAUAUGACUCUUGAUUAUAUACGCAGAAAAAUAUUCUCGUGCUGAGAAAAGCAAUUGCUCAACUUUUAAUUUUCUUUUUUUAAGUAACGAUUAUUUCUUUACAAAGAACAUUUAAUUAAUAAUAAUUUUAAAAUAUAUAUUCAUCAUUUAUUUAAAUUAAACUUCUAUGUAUACACAAGAAAAAUGCAUAUUUUAAAUUAUAAAUUAAGUAAAUAUUACUUAUUUCAAUAUUUCACAAGUUCAUAUAUUUAAAAAUCACUCUAUCAUAAAUUUGUCAAAUUUAGUCAAAAUAUUCUGGAAUAUUUUGCAGCAAUUUGUGAUAACAUUAAUGCAAUAUUUACAAUAAUGGAGUUGCGAGCGUAUGUUCAAGAGGAAUGCUAGAAGUAACGAUUGAUGAAGAGUGAAAAUGACAACACCAUAAGAUCGCGUGAGUGCUUAGUAGGUCGUGUGAACGAAGUCUUGCAAAUUCCCAUAUAAUCGCAUACGGAAGAAAAGUGGUAUUUGACCACGUGUUUGUGCAUAAAUUACAAUUUGCAAAUCUUUUUUCCUCAGAAAAUGCUGUAAUCACGUAAGCUGACAUAAUGGUUCGGAACGGCUGGUAUCCAUUAUCGUGUAUGGAUAGUUUCCGACAUUUUACAUUCAUUUUAAAGUGCAGUAAAAUCAGACAGCGACAUGAUUAUACAACUGAAAGGUAUAAAUAAAUAUUUUUUUAAUCAAGUAUAUUCGGUAGAAAUAACGUACAUAAUAAAUAAUCACUUUCUCGUAAUGAUAAUAAUUAUAUAUGAUUCUUACUAAAGUUUAAUUCCUAGAAAUUAUGUAGCAAGUUAACAAAAAAUUUUCAGUGUAAAUUUACACCGAAAUUUUAUCAAAAAAAUUAUAUACACAUAUCACGCCACGAUUUUACUUUCCGCAUACCUUCCUCUGUGCGUGGGACUGUAUUUUAAAGCGUCUUCAGCUGCAUUUUGUCUUGUUAAAAAUUUCAAAACUGGAUUUUGCUCGCAUGUAAAACAGGAUUUUAUGAAGUAUGUAAAUAUUAUACUUUAGGUGUGUAUAUGUGUGCGUGUAUGGCUACUACCUUGCUGUUGUAGGUACCUAACCGUGAACUUGAAGAGCUGCAUUUUGACGUAAGCAUUUCUGCAUACCUAAAUCGUCAUCGGGAAUUCCCCAAAAUUCCCGCGAAUAAAAUAAAAUAUCUCGUACGCUAGCUCAUCGCCGUCGCGCCGCUGUUGCUAGCAGGAUACGACGGGUACCGGGUAUCGGGUAUUAUAAAAAAUACAACCAGGAACCGGAUAGAGCGGUUCGAACAGAAUUGGUUUAUCUCUACCAGGAUUAACCUUGGCUAUAGAUCGUUGACUCGGGUGACAGGUAAUACUUGAGAAAUUACAGUCACGUUUGUAAUAUAGAAAAGUAUAUUUCAUUAUUAACGUGCGAAAUACCAGACCUAUAGUGCAAACGUACUUGCGGAAAUCUUUAAUGAAAUCUUUAACCUAUCGCGUUUAUAGGGAUUAACGUAGAUAACCUUUGGAAUAACAGUACAUCGACUGCGAGCGUAUAUUUCGCUCCGAGCGAGCCUAAUGACGUUCCACAUUAUAAACACACCUAUAAAAUAUUCACUAUGAGAUAUUAAAAUCCUAUUCAAGUUAUCUCCGAUCUUGUAAUCGGCCUGAUCGCGCAUCCGCGCUGCUUUUUCGGGUGCGACUAUCGCGUCAAUGUUUCAAAUGGCCCCCAGCGUUAAUGCGGACGCAAUCUUAAAAAUGCAAUCGCUGCAGAUAACUGAGAAACGCCCGAGAAAGCUCACGCGAGUAAAACUUAUCAUUGUUUUGAGACCGCGUUUUCUUCAACGUUUGUCGGGAACCUACACGCCCGAACGGAGCCCGAGCUCGUUAAUCAUCG